UACGAGGGGGGCAAGCGUUGUUCGGAAUUAUUGGGCGUAAAGGGCGCGUAGGCGGUGCGGUAAGUCUGAUAUGAAAUCUCCGGGCUCAACUCGGAGUCUGCAUCAGAAACUGCCGUGCUUGAGUGUGGGAGAGGUGAGUGGAAUUCCCGGUGUAGCGGUGAAAUGCGUAGAUAUCGUAAGGAAGACCAGUGGCGAAGGCGAAUCUCUGGACAGUUACUGACACUGAGGCACGAAGGCCAGGGGAGCAAACGGG
rnacentral:rRNA from 1 species